rnacentral:rRNA from 1 species
UAGAUUGACGCUGGCGGCAGGCCUAACACAUGCAAGUCGAACGGUAACAGGAAGCAGCUUGCUGCUUUGCUGACGAGUGGCGGACGGGUGAGUAAUGUCUGGGAAACUGCCUGAUGGAGGGGGAUAACUACUGGAAACGGUAGCUAAUACCGCAUAACGUCGCAAGACCAAAGAGGGGGACCUUAGGGCCUCUUGCCAUCGGAUGUGCCCAGAUGGGAUUAGCUAGUAGGUGGGGUAAAGGCUCACCUAGGCGACGAUCCCUAGCUGGUCUGAGAGGAUGACCAGCCACACUGGAACUGAGACACGGUCCAGACUCCUACGGGAGGCAGCAGUGGGGAAUAUUGCACAAUGGGCGCAAGCCUGAUGCAGCCAUGCCGCGUGUAUGAAGAAGGCCUUCGGGUUGUAAAGUACUUUCAGCGGGGAGGAAGGGAGUAAAGUUAAUACCUUUGCUCAUUGACGUUACCCGCAGAAGAAGCACCGGCUAACUCCGUGCCAGCAGCCGCGGUAAUACGGAGGGUGCAAGCGUUAAUCGGAAUUACUGGGCGUAAAGCGCACGCAGGCGGUUUGUUAAGUCAGAUGUGAAAUCCCCGGGCUCAACCUGGGAACUGCAUCUGAUACUGGCAAGCUUGAGUCUCGUAGAGGGGGGUAGAAUUCCAGGUGUAGCGGUGAAAUGCGUAGAGAUCUGGAGGAAUACCGGUGGCGAAGGCGGCCCCCUGGACGAAGACUGACGCUCAGGUGCGAAAGCGUGGGGAGCAAACAGGAUUAGAUACCCUGGUAGUCCACGCCGUAAACGAUGUCGACUUGGAGGUUGUGCCCUUGAGGCGUGGCUUCCGGAGCUAACGCGUUAAGUCGACCGCCUGGGGAGUACGGCCGCAAGGUUAAAACUCAAAUGAAUUGACGGGGGCCCGCACAAGCGGUGGAGCAUGUGGUUUAAUUCGAUGCAACGCGAAGAACCUUACCUGGUCUUGACAUCCACGGAAGUUUUCAGAGAUGAGAAUGUGCCUUCGGGAACCGUGAGACAGGUGCUGCAUGGCUGUCGUCAGCUCGUGUUGUGAAAUGUUGGGUUAAGUCCCGCAACGAGCGCAACCCUUAUCCUUUGUUGCCAGCGGUCCGGCCGGGAACUCAAAGGAGACUGCCAGUGAUAAACUGGAGGAAGGUGGGGAUGACGUCAAGUCAUCAUGGCCCUUACGACCAGGGCUACACACGUGCUACAAUGGCGCAUACAAAGAGAAGCGACCUCGCGAGAGCAAGCGGACCUCAUAAAGUGCGUCGUAGUCCGGAUUGGAGUCUGCAACUCGACUCCAUGAAGUCGGAAUCGCUAGUAAUCGUGGAUCAGAAUGCCACGGUGAAUACGUUCCCGGGCCUUGUACACACCGCCCGUCACACCAUGGGAGUGGGUUGCAAAAGAAGUAGGUAGCUUAACCUUCGGGAGGGCGCUUACCACUUUGUGAUCAUGACUG